rnacentral:lncRNA from 1 species
UUUUAAAUUUUUCAGCGCCUCUUUGAUUUCUCCCCCAAAUUAAAGCGGUAGUCAAUUAUUCAAUCGCUGCAAAACCUAAUCCUCCUCAAUUGAACCAUCUACCAUCCUCUACUCGCGUAUCACUUCCGACGAUCUUUCGAUUCUAGUGCUCAGUUGCUCCAAAACCUAACCAUCCUCAAUCACUUCGAAACCCUAAUCGCCCCAAAUGUAGCAUCCGUUUGACUUUAACAACAUGAUAAUCAUUUGAUUCUAGAGAUUUUAGACUCAGAAUUGUGACAUUGCUUUGGAGAUAUCAUGGCACAUACUAUGGAUUGAGGUAGUGCUCAAGCUAGUGGUCGAGGUGUUGGACGGGCAAGAUGGUGGUCAAGCUGGUGAACGAGGUGUUGGGUGAGGUAGUAGUCAAGGUAGCGGUCUAGUCGGUGAUUGAGGGAUUUGGCGUAGUGGUUGAGGUCGAGUUUGUUCUUCCUCAACCAACUCGAUCCGUUAUCAAUUCUUUAAUUCUGGAGUUAAUUACCUAAUUAGUCCUUGUGGUUUAUAUGAACGUGACUUUAAACUAUUAGUACCUAAUCUUGUUACUUCCUAUAAACCACAGA